rnacentral:rRNA from 1 species
UACGGGGGGGGCAAGCGUUGUUCGGAAUUACUGGGCGUAAAGGGCUCGUAGGCGGCCAACUAAGUCAUACGUGAAAUCCCCCGGCUUAACCGGGGAACUGCGUCUGAUACUGGAUGGCUUGAGUUCGGGAGAGGGAUGCGGAAUUCCAGGUGUAGCGGUGAAAUGCGUAGAUAUCUGGAGGAACACCGGUGGCGAAGGCGGCAUCCUGGACCGAUACUGACGCUGAGGAGCGAAAGCCAGGGGAGCAAACGGGG